UAAACCCUAACUAAAAGAGGGAUUAUUGAUUUCUAACCUCCAAGGCCCAGAAUCAAUCAAUCUUACUCCCUUAGGGUGCUCCUAGGACUCCAAAUAUUGUCCCUCUAGCUUGUCCAUCACAAGCUCACCAAUGGUAACCCAAAUGUGUCUUUAAAGCCUUACCAACCACUUAAACUUUGGGGUUUAUGCUUUAAUGAGGGCAUGUGAAUG
rnacentral:misc_RNA from 1 species